rnacentral:rRNA from 1 species
CACGUAGGGCGCAAGCGUUGUCCGGAAUUACUGGGCGUAAAGCGUGCGCAGGCGGUUUGCUAAGACAGGUGUGAAAUCCCCGGGCUUAACCUGGGAACUGCGCUUGUAACUGGCAAGCUAGAGUGUGGCAGAGGGGGGUGGAAUUCCACGUGUAGCAGUGAAAUGCGUAGAGAUGUGGAGGAACACCGAUGGCGAAGGCAGCCCCCUGGGCUAACACUGACGCUCAUGCACGAAAGCGUGGGGAGCAAAUAGG